UGGGGAAUCUUGCGCAAUGGGGGAAACCCUGACGCAGCGACGCCGCGUGCGGGAUGAAGGCCUUCGGGUUGUAAACCGCUUUUGAUUGGGAGCAAGCCUUUUGGGUGAGUGUACCUUUCGAAUAAGCGCCGGCUAACUACGUGCCAGCAGCCGCGGUAAUACGUAGGGCGCAAGCGUUAUCCGGAAUUAUUGGGCGUAAAGAGCUUGUAGGCGGUUCGUCGCGUCUGGUGUGAAAGCCCAUCGCUUAACGGUGGGUUUGCGCCGGGUACGGGCGGGCUAGAGUGCAGUAGGGGAGACUGGAAUUCCCGGUGUAACGGUGGAAUGUGUAGAUAUCGGGAAGAACACCAAUGGCGAAGGCAGGUCUCUGGGCUGUUACUGACGCUGAGAAGCGAAAGCGUGGGGAGCGAACAGG
rnacentral:rRNA from 1 species